AUGAAGGUUUUCGGAUCGUAAAGCUCUGUUGACAGGGAAGAACCCACGYCAGUCGAACAGGCUGGCGUGCUGACGGUACCUGUCCAGAAAGCCCCGGCUAACUACGUGCCAGCAGCCGCGGUAAUACGUAGGGGGCAAGCGUUGUCCGGAAUUAUUGGGCGUAAAGGGCACGCAGGCGGUUUCGUCAGUCCGAUGUGACAGGCCACGGCUCAACCGUGGAAGGCCAUUGGAAACUGCGAAACUUGAGGACAGAAGAGGAGAGUGGAAUUCCACGUGUAGCGGUGAAAUGCGUAGAUAUGUGGAGGAACACCAGUGGCGAAGGCGACUCUCUGGUCUGUACCUGACGCUGAGGUGCGAAAGCAUGGGGAGCAAACAGGAUUAGAUACCCUGGUAGUCCAUGCCGUAAACGCUGAGUGCUAGGUGUUAGGGGUUUCGAUACCCGUAGUGCCGAAGCUAACGCAUUAAGCACUCCGCCUGGGGAGUACGACCGCAAGGUUGAAACUCAAG
rnacentral:rRNA from 1 species